GUAGGUGGCAAGCGUUGUCCGGAAUUAUUGGGCGUAAAGCGCGCGCAGGCGGUUCUUUAAGUCUGAUGUGAAAGCCCACGGCUCAACCGUGGAGGGUCAUUGGAAACUGGAGAACUUGAGUACAGAAGAGGAAAGCGGAAUUCCACGUGUAGCGGUGAAAUGCGUAGAGAUGUGGAGGAACACCAGUGGCGAAGGCGGCUUUCUGGUCUGUAACUGACGCUGAGGCGCGAAAGCGUGGGGAGCAAACAGGGACUAGAUACCCUGGUAGUCCACGCCGUAAACGAUGAGUGCUAAGUGUUAGGGGGGUUUCCGCCCCCUUAGUGCUGCAGCUAACACAUUAAGCACUCCGCCUGGGGAUACGGCCGCAAGGCUG
rnacentral:rRNA from 1 species